rnacentral:rRNA from 1 species
GUGUCAGCAGCCGCGGUAAGACGAACCGUGCGAACGUUGUUCGGAAUCACUGGGCUUAAAGGGCGCGUAGGCGGGCUGUCCAGUCAAGGGUGAAAUCCUGCGGCUUAACCGUAGAAGAGCCCCUGAUACUGACGGCCUCGAGGGAGGUAGGGGCGUGUGGAACUUCCGGUGGAGCGGUGAAAUGCGUAGAUAUCGGAAGGAACGCCGGUGGCGAAAGCGACGCGCUGGACCUCUUCUGACGCUGAGGCGCGAAAGCCAGGGGAGCAAACGGGAUUAGAUACCCCAGUAGUCC